rnacentral:rRNA from 1 species
AUUGAACGCUGGCGGCAGGCCUAACACAUGCAAGUCGAACGGUAACAGGAAGCAGCUUGCUGCUUUGCUGACGAGUGGCGGACGGGUGAGUAAUGUCUGGGAAACUGCCUGAUGGAGGGGGAUAACUACUGGAAACGGUAGCUAAUACCGCAUAACGUCGCAAGACCAAAGAGGGGGACCUUCGGGCCUCUUGCCAUCGGAUGUGCCCAGAUGGGAUUAGCUAGUAGGUGGGGUAACGGCUCACCUAGGCGACGAUCCCUAGCUGGUCUGAGAGGAUGACCAGCCACACUGGAACUGAGACACGGUCCAGACUCCUACGGGAGGCAGCAGUGGGGAAUAUUGCACAAUGGGCGCAAGCCUGAUGCAGCCAUGCCGCGUGUAUGAAGAAGGCCUUCGGGUUGUAAAGUACUUUCAGCGGGGAGGAAGGGAGUAAAGAUAAUACCUUUGCUCAUUGACGUUACCCGCAGAAGAAGCACCGGCUAACUCCGUG